UACGAAGGGGGCUAGCGUUGUUCGGAAUUACUGGGCGUAAAGGGCGCGUAGGCGGAUAGUUUAGUCAGAGGUGAAAGCCCAGGGCUCAACCUUGGAAUUGCCUUUGAUACUGGCUGUCUUGAGUACGGGAGAGGUGAGUGGAACUCCGAGUGUAGAGGUGAAAUUCGUAGAUAUUCGGAAGAACACCAGUGGCGAAGGCGACUCACUGGCCCGUUACUGACGCUGAGGCGCGAAAGCGUGGGGAGCAAACAGG
rnacentral:rRNA from 1 species